UUAGAUUCACCUGCAUCAAAUCAAUUAAUAAGUUGGAACAACCUCUGGUCUUCCAAAGUUUUAUUAAUGGCGUUCGGGUUUAGGUUUUCUAGGAAUAAAAAUUUUGGAGGAACAAAAUGAACGGUACAGUUAAAUGGUUCAACUCAGAAAAAGGAUUCGGUUUUAUUACUGGUGAAGAUGGUAAAGAUGUAUUCGUACACUUUUCACAAAUCAACAAAGAUGGCUUCAAAUCUUUAGAAGAAGGCGAAGCAGUUACUUUUACAAUCGCUCAAGGCCCUAAAGGUCCUCAAGCUGAAAACGUAACACCACUUAGAUAGUUGAGCGAGCCCCGAUAAAAUCGGGGCUUUUUUA
rnacentral:other from 1 species